CUGCGGAAGGAUCAUUGUCGAAA
rnacentral:rRNA from 1 species